GACCUCAAAUCAGGUAGGACUACCCGCUGAACUUAAGCAUAUCAAUAAGCGGAGGAAAAGAAACUAACAAGGAUUCCCCUAGUAACUGCGAGUGAAGCGGGAAAAGCUCAAAUUUAAAAUCUGGCGGUCUUCUGGUCGUCCGAGUUGUAAUCUAGAGAAGUGUUAUCCGCGUUGGACCGUGUACAAGUCUCCUGGAAUGGAGCGUCAUAGAGGGUGAGAAUCCCGUCUUUGACACGGACUACCAGUGCUUUGUGAUGCGCUCUCAAAGAGUCGAGUUGUUUGGGAAUGCAGCUCAAAAUGGGUGGUAAAUUCCAUCUAAAGCUAAAUAUUGGCGAGAGACCGAUAGCGAACAAGUACCGUGAGGGAAAGAUGAAAAGAAGUUUGGAAAGAGAGUUAAACAGUACGUGAAAUUGCUGAAAGGGAAACGCUUGAAGUCAGUCGCGUUGUCCGGGGAUCAACCUUGCUUUUGCUGGGUGUACUUUCCGGUUGACGGGUCAGCAUCAAUUUUGACCGUUGGAUAAAGUGUAAGGGAAUGUGGCAUCCUCGGAUGUGUUAUACCCUUGCUCGCAUACAACGGUUGGGAUUGAGGAACUCAGUACGCCGCAAGGCCGAGAUUUAUCUACGUUCGUACUUAGGAUGCUGGCAUAAUGGCUUUAAUCGACCCGUCUUGAAACACGGACCAAGGAGUCUAACAUGCCUGCGAGUGUUUGGGUGGAAAACCCGAGCGCGUAAUGAAAGUGAAAGUUGAGAUCCCUGUCGUGGGGAGCAUCGACGCCCGGACCAGACCUUUUGUGACGGAUCUGCGGUAGAGCAUGUAUGUUGGGACCCGAAAGAUGGUGAACUAUGCCUGAAUAGGGUGAAGCCAGAGGAAACUCUGGUGGAGGCUCGUAGCGAUUCUGACGUGCAAAUCGAUCGUCAAAUUUGGGUAUAGGGGCGAAAGACUAAUCGAACCAUCUAGUAGCUGGUUCCU
rnacentral:rRNA from 1 species